CGUUGACCUUCAUGUCCUGUUCCAGCACUCGUAUCCCUGAUCGACAACCCGUGUUUAUCGACCUUCGCCUGUUCUCCGGCUAACCUUGUCCGAGUCCUCCAAACCGUUUGAGGGAACUCGCUUGGCCAUCUACCUGGGACCUCCGCGUGGCGGCCAGAGGAGACACCCAGGCCAGGCGCUCCCUUGUGCGUCCCACUGCGCGGCAACAAAGAUGCCGUCUUCGUCCACCCACUCCUCACCGACAACGGUUAAACCGACAGACCUGCAGCUGGUGGCGAAGCUUCCAGGCCAGAGGGAGGAGGGGCCGCCAAAUCACGAGACCCCGUAAGCUUGACGUCUUUGAUACUCCUGCCUUCUCUGAUCGAUCUCCCGUAUACCGACCCGUGCCUGCCCGCGGACCUGCUCUGUAUGCCCAACGUCCUAACUUCCGAUGCUCCACUUGACUUUCUGCCUGAUCCCCGACUUUGGACGAAUAAACACUUUUCCCAAACUGCCUCUGCGUCUCUGGAGUCCUGCAUUUGGGUCCUCCCCGCAUCAAUGGGUCGUGAUAGAAUGCUCUGGCCAAACCAGGACCAAGCAGGAAAGACCCAGCGUUGCCGGGACCGACGCGAGGUAAACCGACUGCCGAAGGACCAAGCCUGUCCUAUCCGGGUCGGCUCCAUGAUGUUGUUUGCGUCUUCCAGUCAUUCAGACAAGAU